AUUUAUGUAGUUUAAUUAAAAUAUUGAUUUGUGGAGUCAGAGAUAUUYAAAAAUCAUAAAUU
rnacentral:tRNA from 1 species